rnacentral:rRNA from 1 species
ACGGGACUAUUUGAGUAGCAAUACAAGAGUAGUUUAGUGGCGCACGGGUGAGUAACACGUGAAUUACAUGCCCUGCAGAGGGGGAUAGCCCAGGGAAACUUGGAUUAAUACCCCAUGGUAUCGCAAGAUUAAAGGUGGCCGCAAGGCUGUCGCUGCAGGAUUGGUUCGCGCCCUAUCAGCUUGUUGGUGAGGUAACGGCUCACCAAGGCCACGACGGGUACCUGGUCUGAGAGGACGAUCAGGCACACUGGAACUGAGACACGGUCCAGACACCUACGGGUGGCAGCAGUCGAGAAUAAUUCACAAUGGGGGCAACCCUGAUGGUGCAACGCCGCGUGGAGGAUGAAGGUCUUCGGAUUGUAAACUCCUGUCAUCCGGGAGUAAGACCUGGCGAUGAAUAGUCGACAGGGUUGAUAGUACCGGAAGAGGAAGGGACGGCUAACUUCGUGCCAGCAGCCGCGGUAAUACGAAGGUCCCGAGCGUUGUUCGGAAUCACUGGGCGUAAAGGGAGCGUAGGCGGCGUGGUAAGUCAGAUGUGAAAUCCCGGGGCUCAACCCCGGAACUGCAUCCGAUACUGCCGUGCUAGAGGAUUGGAGAGGUAGCUGGAAUUCACGGUGUAGCAGUGAAAUGCGUAGAUAUCGUGAGGAACACUCGUGGCGAAAGCGAGCUACUGGACAACUCCUGACGCUGAGGCUCGAAGGCCAGGGUAGCGAAAGGGAUUAGAUACCCCUGUAGUCCUGGCAGUAAACGGUGCACGCUUGGUGUGAGGGGAAUCGACCCCCCUUGUGCCGGAGCAAACGC